GAUGAACGCUGGCGGCGUGCCUAAUACAUGCAAGUCGAGCGAACGGACGAGACGCUUGCUUCUCUGAUGUUAGCGGCGGACGGGUGAGUAACACGUGGAUACCCUACCUAUAAGACUGGGAUCACUUCGGGAAACCGGAGCUAAUACCGGAUAAUAUUUUGAACCGCAUGGUUCAAAAGUGAAAGACGGUGUUGCUGUCACUUAUAGAUGCAUCCGCGCUGCAUUAGCUAGUUGGUAAGGUAACGGCUUACCAAGGCAACGAUGCAUAGCUGACCUGAUAGGGGGGUCGGCCACCCUGGAACUGAGCCGCGCUCCAGGCUCCUACGGUAGGCAGCAGUCGGGAAUCUUCCGCAAUGGGCGAAAGCCUGACGGAGCAACGCCGCGUGAGUGAUGAAGGUCUUCGGAGCGUAAAGCUCCGUUAUUAGGGAAGAACAGAUGUGUACGUAACUGUGCACAUCUUGACGGUACCUAAUCAGGAAGCCACGGCUAACUACGUG
rnacentral:rRNA from 1 species